rnacentral:rRNA from 1 species
GGCAAGAGCUCAAAUUUGAAAGCUGGCCCCCUCGGGGUCCGCGUUGUAAUUUGCAGAGGAUGCUUCGGGUGCAGCCCCCGUCUAAGUGCCCUGGAACGGGCCGUCAUAGAGGGUGAGAAUCCCGUCUGGGACGGGGUGUCUGCGUCCGUGUGAAGCUCCCUCGACGAGUCGAGUUGUUUGGGAAUGCAGCUCUAAAUGGGUGGUAAAUUUCAUCUAAAGCUAAAUACUGGCCGGAGACCGAUAGCGCACAAGUAGAGUGAUCGAAAGAUGAAAAGCACUUUGAAAAGAGAGUUAAACAGCACGUGAAAUUGUUGAAAGGGAAGCGUUUGCGACCAGACUCGCCCGCGGGGUUCAGCCGGCAUUCGUGCCGGUGUACUUCCCCGUGGGCGGGCCAGCGUCGGUUUGGGCGGCCGGUCAAAGGCCCUCGGAAUGUAUCACCUCUCGGGGUGUCUUAUAGCCGAGGGUGCAAUGCGGCCUGCCCGGACCGAGGAACGCGCUUCGGCUCGGACGCUGGCGUAAUGGUCGUAAAUGACCCGUCUUGAAACACGGACCA